GACGAACGCUGGCGGCGUGCUUAACACAUGCAAGUCGAACGGAAAGGCCCUGCUUUUGUGGGGUGCUCGAGUGGCGAACGGGUGAGUAACACGUGAGUAACCUGCCCUUGACUUUGGGAUAACUUCAGGAAACUGGGGCUAAUACCGGAUAGGAGCUCCUGCUGCAUGGUGGGGGUUGGAAAGUUUCGGCGGUUGGGGAUGGACUCGCGGCUUAUCAGCUUGUUGGUGGGGUAGUGGCUUACCAAGGCUUUGACGGGUAGCCGGCCUGAGAGGGUGACCGGCCACAUUGGGACUGAGAUACGGCCCAGACUCCUACGGGAGGCAGCAGUGGGGAAUAUUGCACAAUGGGCGGAAGCCUGAUGCAGAAACGCCGCGUGCGGGAUGACGGCCUUCGGGUUGUAAACCGCUUUCGCCUGUGACGAAGCGUGCGUGACGGUAAUGGGUAAAAAAGCACCGGCUAACUACGUG
rnacentral:rRNA from 1 species